UUUGCCUGUUUUAUCAAAAACAUGUUUGUUUGAAGGUGUAAAUGGUCUAGCCUGCUCACUGAUAAAGAAUAUUAAAGAGCCGCGGUAUAUUGACCGUGCAAAGGUAGCAUAAUCAUUAGGAGUUUAAUUGGAACCUGGAAUGAAGGGUUGGACAAAGGAAAAACUGUCUUUAUAGUAGAAAUUGAAGUUUACUUUUAAGUGAAAAGGCUUAAAUUUGUCAAGGGGACGAUAAGACCCUAUAAAGCUUUACAUAAAUUUAAAUUUAGCUAAUUUGAUUAAUAAAGGUUAGGUUUGAUUAUUUUGUUUUAUUGGGGUGAUAUGAGUAUAAAUGUUAAUAACUGCUUAUAAAAAAUACUAAUAUAGAAGACUUAUAAAAACAUGAUCCUUUUUAAAGAUUAAAAGACUAAGUUACUUUAGGGAUAACAGCGUUAUUUCUCUUAAGAGUUCAUAUCGAAAGAGGAGAUUGCGACCUCGAUGUUGAAUUAAAAUAUCUAUAUAAUGCAGCCGUUAUAAAAGAGGGUCUGUUCGACCUUUAAAUUUUUACAUGA
rnacentral:rRNA from 1 species